CAGUAGCCGCGGGAAUACGUAGGGUGCAAGCGUUAAUCGGAAUUACUGGGCGUAAAGCGUGCGCAGGCGGUUAUAUAAGACAGAUGUGAAAUCCCCGGGCUCAACCUGGGAACUGCAUUUGUGACUGUAUAGCUAGAGUACGGCAGAGGGGGAUGGAAUUCCGCGUGUAGCAGUGAAAUGCGUAGAUAUGCGGAGGAACACCGAUGGCGAAGGCAAUCCCCUGGGCCUGUACUGACGCUCAUGCACGAAAGCGUGGGGAGCAAACAGGAUUAGAUACCCCGUAGUCCCUGUCUCUUAUACA
rnacentral:rRNA from 1 species